GAUUUCUGCCCAGUGCUCUAAAUGGCAAAGUGAAGAUAUUUAAGUAACCGCGGGUCAACGGCGGGAGUAACUAUGACUCUCUUAAGGUAGCCAUAUGCCUCGUCAUCUAAUAGUGACGCGCAUGAAUGGAU
rnacentral:ncRNA from 1 species